rnacentral:lncRNA from 1 species
UUUUGCUUUCUUUUUGGGAAGUUGGUAGUUGCAGUUCAUACGAAUUUGGAAUCUCGAAUACCAACUAUCAAAUUUUUAACUAACUAUACUAUAUACGAUUGAUUAAUUUUUUAGCUGAUUUUCAAAAAAAAAAUUAUAAAUGAGAAGUCCAGGAUUGACACAAUGACUGAAAAAUUUAAAGUAAGAUACUGACGCUAACGCGGAUAGAUAAAAUUUAAUUUACAGUUUCUGCUUUCCUGCUGGUAUUAAAAGUAGUUGAAAGACUUUUUAGAAAUUGUUAGUAGU